rnacentral:rRNA from 1 species
UACGGGGGGGGCAAGCGUUGUUCGGAAUUACUGGGCGUAAAGGGCUCGUAGGUGGCCAACUAAGUCAGACGUGAAAUCCCUCGGCUUAACCGGGGAACUGCGUCUGAUACUGGAUGGCUUGAGUUCGGGAGAGGGAUGCGGAAUUCCAGGUGUAGCGGUGAAAUGUGUUGAUAUCGGAAGGAACGCCGGUGGCGAAAGCGGCACACUGGAUCUCAACUGACGCUGAGGCACGAAAGCCAGGGGAGCGAACGGG